UACGGGGGGGGCAAGCGUUGUUCGGAAUUACUGGGCGUAAAGGGCUCGUAGGUGGCCAACUAAGUCAGACGUGAAAUCCCUCGGCUUAACCGGGGAACUGCGUCUGAUACUGGAUGGCUUGAGUUUGGGAGAGGGAUGUGGAAUUCCAGGUGUAGCGGUGAAAUGCGUAGAUAUCUGGAGGAACACCGGUGGCGAAGGCGGCAUCCUGGACCGAUAUUGACGCUGAUGCGCGAAAGCCAGGGGAGCAAACGGG
rnacentral:rRNA from 1 species